GGGCAAGUGGCGGAACUGGUAUACGCGUAGGUCUCAAAAACCUAUGGUGGCAACACCUUGAGAGUUCGAUUCUCUCCUUGCCCACCA
rnacentral:tRNA from 1 species